rnacentral:rRNA from 1 species
UACGAAGGGAGCUAGCGUUGUUCGGAAUCACUGGGCGUAAAGCGCACGUAGGCGGAUGUGUCAGUCAGGGGUGAAAUCCCGGAGCUCAACUUCGGAACUGCCUUUGAUACAGCACAUCUGGAGUCCGGAAGAGGUGGGUGGAAUUCCUAGUGUAGAGGUGAAAUUCGUAGAUAUUAGGAAGAACACCGGUGGCGAAGGCGGCCCACUGGUCCGGUACGGACGCUGAGGUGCGAAAGCGUGGGGAGCAAACAGG